CACCUGGGACAGCUCAGCGGGUAGAGCGCGAGACAUUUAAUUUUAGGUUUCUGGGUUCGAAUCCCACGCUAGGUGA